rnacentral:rRNA from 1 species
AGUAAUGUCUGGGAAACUGCCUGAUGGAGGGGGAUAACUACUGGAAACGGUAGCUAAUACCGCAUAAUGUCGCAAGACCAAAGUGGGGGACCUUCGGGCCUCAUGCCAUCAGAUGUGCCCAGAUGGGAUUAGCUAGUAGGUGGGGUAAUGGCUCACCUAGGCGACGAUCCCUAGCUGGUCUGAGAGGAUGACCAGCCACACUGGAACUGAGACACGGUCCAG